rnacentral:rRNA from 1 species
AUUUUGGACAAUGGGGGAAACCCUGAUCCAGCCAUCCCGCGUGUAUGAUGAAGGCNUUNNGGUUGNANAGUACUUUUGGCGGANNNNNAAAGGCAUCCCCUAAUACGGGAUGCUGCUGACGGUAUCUGCAGAAUAAGCACCGGCUAACUACGUCCCAGCAGCCGCUGUAACACGUAGGGUGCAAGCGUUAAUCGGAAUUACUGGGCGUAAAGCGUGUGUAGGCGGUUCGGAAAGAAAGAUGUGAAAUCCCAGGGGUCAACCUUGGAAAUGGAUGUGUAACUGGCGAGCUAGAGUAUGUCAAAGGGGGGUAGAAUUCCAAGUGUAGCAGUGAAAUGCGUAGAUAUGUGGAGGAAUACCGAUGGCGAAGGCAGCCCCCUGGGAUAAUACUGACGCUCAGACACGAAAGCGUGGGGAGCAAACAGG